rnacentral:tRNA from 10 species
GCUGAAGCGCAGUGGCACGCUCUGGGCUCACUGCAACCUCUGCCUCCUGAGUUCAAGAGAUUCUCCUGCCUCAGCCUCCCAAGUAGCUGGGAUUACAGGCCCAUGCCACCACACCCGGCUAAUUUUUGUAUUUUUAGUAGAGACAGGAUUUCACCAUGUUGGCCGUGCUGGUCUUGAACUCCUGACCUCAAGUGAUUUGCCUGCUUUGGCCUCCCAAAGUGCUGGGAUUACAGACAUGAGUCACCAUGCCCUGCCUGCAGCUUCUUCUUGAAGUGUUCUGGACUUGGAAGAUUUGUUGAAUUACUAUGAAGUCACAUCUAAAGUUUGAAAGAGAUCGGGUCUCACUAUUUUGCCCACGCUGGUCUUGAACUCCUGUCCUCAAGCAGGAUAUCCUCCUGCCUUGGCCUCCCAAAGUUCUGGGAUUACAGUCUCGCUCUGUCGCCAGGCUGGAGUGCACGCUGGAGCGCGAUCUUGUCUUACUACAACCUCUGCCUCCCAGAUUCAAGCGAUUUUCCUGCCUCAGCCUCCCGAGUAGCUGGGACUACAGGGACGCACCACCAUGCCCAGCUAAUUUUUGUAUUUUUAGUAGAGAUGUGGUUUCACCAUGUUGGCCAGGAUGGUCUUGAUCUCUUGACCUCGUGAUCCACCCGCCUCGGCUUCCCAAAGUGCUGGGAUUAUAGGCAUAAGCCACCACGCCUGGCCUGAAAUUAUUUUUCUAUACAGUUCUUAGAGGAAGUGUUUGGGUCACCUACAUAGGCAUGUAGUUCUUGACACUGGUUACUAGAGGAUUUAUAGAGGAUGUUCAUAUAUUCAACAAGCAUUUGUUGAAUACCUAUUAGGUGCUAGCCAUGGAAAUAUGGGAUUGAAAAAAACAGACAAAAAUCCCUAAUCUCUCUUACAAUCUAGUGAGGACAAUCAGACAGUACACAAAAUAAGCAUAAUAUAUAGUAAUCAUGUGGUAGUAAGUUCUAUAGAGCAAAAACAAGUUUAAAGAAGGAGGUUGGGGGGAGUGUUGAGAUGCAUAAGGUUUGCAGUUAUAAAUGUGGUGGUUAGGGAAUCAUUUGCUGAAAAAUGAACAUUGAGCAAAAACCUGAAGGAUGUUAAAGGAAUAAGAUACAUGUAAUCCAGAUGAAAGUUUUUUGGAUAAAGGAAAGAGCAAUUGCUAAAUCCCUGAGGUGGGAGUGGGCUGUUCAUAAGACAGCAAAGCAGCCAGGGUAGCUGAGUGAUUGACAGCGGAAGAUGGAAAAUGGGGAAUAGUUGGUGUAGGACCUAGUUGUGAGGAUAUUGACUUUGUUUUUUUUCCAAGACAGAGCUGUGCUCUGUCGCCCAGGCUAGAGUGCAGUGGCAUGAUCUUGGCUCACUGCAAUCUCCGCCUCCCGGGUUCAAGCAAUGCUCCUGCCUUAGCCUCCCCAGUAGCUGGGAUUACAGGCACCUGCCACCAUGUCCAAUUAAUUUUUGUAUUUUUAGUAGAGAUGGGGUUUCGCCAUGUUAGCCAGGCUGGUCUUGGACUCCUGACCUCAAGUGAUCUGCCCGCCUCAGCCUCCCAAAGUGCUGGGAUUACAGGCGUGAGCCACCAUGCCCACCCUAGGAUAUUUACUUUUAUUUUGAAUAAGGAUGCCACUGGAGGCCAGACGUGGUGGCUAACGCCUAUAAUCCCAGCACUUUGGGAGGACGAGGCGGGUGGAUCACGAGGUUAGGAGAUUGAGACCAUCCUGGCCAACAUGGUGGAACCCCGUCUCUACUAAAAAAAAAAAAAAAAUUAGCCAGGUGUGGUUGCAUGCGCCUGUAGUCCCAGCAACUCAGGAGGCUGAGGAAGGAGAAUCACUUGAACCCGGGAGGUGGAGGUUGCAGUGAGCCGAGAUCGCCCCACUGUACUCCAGCCUGGGUGACAGAGCAAGACUCUGUCUCAAAAAAAAAAAAAAAAAAAAAUGCCACUGGAGAGCUUUGAGGAGAGGAUCAGUCUGGCUACUGGGUUGGGAAUUAAUCAUAGCAGGCAAAGGCAAAAGAAGUGAGGUUAGUUAGGAGGCUUUACAACAACCCAGAUGAGAGAUGGGAGGUUUUAGCCAGGGAGAUGGAGAUGUUGAGAGAGUAGCUGGACUCAGGAUUGUGACAGUGGACUGAAGGAAAAGCAGGUUUUGGGGGAAGAUUGCAUUUCUCCCUUCAACUUCAGUUACGUAGAUCACCCAUAUGCCACACAACUGCAACUCUGUAACAGCCAAUUUUUAGCUUCUUCCUUAUCUAAGCCAUCCUGUAGGCCAUAGGAAUUAAAACUAGGUUGGAUCAAGGAAAAGUGAAUGCUAGAUCCAUACAAAACUAUUUGGAUAUUUGCCUUUGUAUUUUAUUGUUUUGAAAUUAUUUUUAAUGGUUCAAUAAACUCUUACUAGAACUACAAGCAAUAUAAUUAUUUCCUCUGCUUUAUUAGAAAUGUUUUUGUAAUCAUGUUAAUUAUAUUACUUUUAACUAUAUAAGGCUUGUGUCUCUUUUUUAUAAAUUGAUGUUUAUAUCCUCUGUAAGAUAAAUAUAAAGGCUUUUUGUUCAUAUGAGGAUGUGCUGUAAGAUUGCAGGGAGUAUAAAAAUUGGCAAUGGAGUAGGUGACUUGUAUUAUUAGUCUGAUCUUAAUGUUGUAACAUACUGAUCAUGCAAAAUAUAUAAUUAGUUUGUUUUUGCUAUUUAAUAUGUGUAGGACUGUAACAAACAGACUAGAGAAGAUGGCCAUAAGUUACAAGAAAGCAAGUAAAUUACUAUCUAAUUAAAAGUAUUUGAUUCUAAUACUAGCAGAGUUCUGUCUAGAAAAUAAAUUAACUUUCUGUAUGCUUUUUUUGGUCUCAAUUUUCCAAUAAUUUCCCUCAACUCUGAUAUGUGUCUGUUGAAUAAUAUUUCUGAUGUUAAGAAUUAAAGGGGGUGUAGAUCAGUGGUAGGGCGCACGCUUAGCAUGCAUGAGGCCCUGGGUCAAUCCCCAGCACCUCCACAAAGGUUUUCUGGCUGGACACGGUGGCUCACACCUGUAAUCUCAGCAUUUUGGGAAGCUGAGUUGGACAGAUCACUAGAGGUCAGGAGUUCGAGACCAGCGUGGCCAACAUGGUGAAACCCUAUUUCUACUAAAAAUACAAAAAAAUUAGCCGGUCACGGUGGCACACACCUGUAAUCUCAGCUACUUGGGAGGCUGAGGCAUGACAAUCGCUUGAACCUGGAAGGCGG